rnacentral:rRNA from 1 species
UGAGGAAUAUUGGUCAAUGGACGGAAGUCUGAACCAGCCAAGUAGCGUGCAGGAUGACGGCCCUAUGGGUUGUAAACUGCUUUUGUAUGGGGAUAAAGUUAGGGACGUGUCCCUAUUUGCAGGUACCAUACGAAUAAGGACCGGCUAAUUCCGCGCCAGCAGCCGCGGUAAUACGGAAGGUCCAGGCGUUAUCCGGAUUUAUUGGGUUUAAAGGGAGCGUAGGCUGGAGAUUAAGUGUGUUGUGAAAUGUAGACGCUCAACGUCUGAAUUGCAGCGCAUACUGGUUUCCUUGAGUACGCACAACGUUGGCGGAAUUCGUCGUGUAGCGGUGAAAUGCUUAGAUAUGACGAAGAACUCCGAUUGCGAAGGCAGCUGACGGGAGCGCAACUGACGCUUAAGCUCGAAGGUGCGGGUAUCAAACAGGAUUAGAUACCCUGGUAGUCCGCACAGUAAACGAUGGAUGCCCGCUGUUGGUACCUGGUAUCAGCGGCUAAGCGAAAGCAUUAAGCAUCCCACCUGGGGAGUACGCCGGCAACGGU